UACGUAGGGUGCGAGCGUUGUCCGGAAUUACUGGGCGUAAAGAGCUCGUAGGUGGUUUGUCGCGUUGUCCGUGAAAACUCACAACUCAAUUGUGGGCGUGCGGGCGAUACGGGCAGACUGGAGUACUGCAGGGGAGACUGGAAUUCCUGGUGUAGCGGUGGAAUGCGCAGAUAUCAGGAGGAACACCGGUGGCGAAGGCGGGUCUCUGGGCAGUAACUGACGCUGAGGAGCGAAAGCGAGGGGAGCGAACAGG
rnacentral:rRNA from 1 species